rnacentral:misc_RNA from 1 species
CUCCGAGUUCGCGGGAGAGUAAGUUAUUGCCAGGGUUUUUAUUUUAUACUUUAAACAUUGAUUUUAUUUUUUAUGUUUUUAGAUGUUCAUGUUUUUGAAUGUUUUAUUUAAAUAAUAUAAAAAAUAAAAUAUAUAUUGACAUGGAUUAAACAAAGAUAUAUAUUAUUCUAUGUUGCAUAAACAAAUUGGCAAAAUAGAGAUGGAAGAUAAAAAUAUGGUCAAAGUAAUAAGAGUCUAUGGUGAAUGCCUAGGA